GCGUACCGGCGGAUUGCGUGAUAACAACAAUGGCGUCGAGGUUGUAUCAUACUGGCAUCAGUUUUAGUGCUCACAAUUCAUUCAGGAUGCAAACUAUUUUAUCACUCAAUAGGAAUCUGAGAAAUACCGCAUCACAUGCAUUCUUUGUCAAAAGGACCAAAGCUAACAGAAUACCAGAAUACCUUGAUUACAAAGGUAGUGGAACAAGAACGUUAACACUAGUUAGAAAAUUUGAUGGAGUCACAGAGGUAUGUGUAUUCUAAUAAUUAUU